GUUAGUCCAGGUUUCAUUGGUGUAAAUCCAGACCAGAAUCAGGUCAUAGGAAUGCAAGUAAAUUGAUUCAGACAUGGAAUAAGAGACUUACAGACUUUAAGAGUCCAAAAUCAGGAUCAAGGAGACAUUGUGAGCGAAGAGAGAAGAACCCUGAUGAUGAUGGGUCACCUUAUUGUAGAAAAGAGACUGCAGCUACAGGACUCUUGGCUGAGCAGCUUUGUCUCUCAUGUCACUGCUGCUGCUCCACUCUCUGAUAGGGAAGUUGGAAACCAAAGGAAAUCCCCAGCCAGGCAUUACCAUCUCCUACUGCUUCCACUCCAGAUCUUUCUGGAGGGUUUGUCUUCAUCCUCACUACCCAGAAGGAAGUGGGGAGUACUGGUGAAAGACAGAAGAAGGGGAACUAUAUUCUCCUUGGAUUUAAUCCCUUGCUGCAUAUUGCAGGAUUAAAUUAAAUCCAAAACCUUUUCCCCUACAAUUUGGUAGUUACUGUACAUUGCUGCUAGAAUUUAAAUGAUGCCUUGAAAUGAGCCAUAAUAUGCUUUCUUCAACAUUACUUGUUAUAGCA